GGGAAGCACUCCACACCCUCACCCAGGUCCUGUAUCCCUGCAAGACUGCGUUGGAAAGACUGAAGAGGCUGGAGUGCAGUGGCGCAAUCUUGGCUCACAGGAACCUCCGCCUCCCAGGUUCAAGAGAUUCUCAUGCCUCAGCCUCGCGAGUAGCUGGAAUUACAGGAAGCUAAAGAAUGAUGCGCUCCACCACAAUGAGGGACUAAACAACAAAAAGGAGGCAUGAGAUUCAGGAAGCAAAAAAGGAAUUCAUCAUAUGAAGGAAUGAAGAUGUUCAAAAGAAAACCUUCAACCUCAUGCCAGAAGAUGUUCCCAGCUGUAUAAAUGCCUAACUCAGCUUCUAGUCCUUGGAAAUUAAGCAGCUCAUUGAAAAUUCAAGAGUUCCAGCCAGAAGCUACAGCUAGGCUCAGAUGUUGAAAUCAGUCUCUCCUGCUGAUCAAACUGUGACAUAGCCAAAGCAAUAGGCCUGGCUUUUCAGUUAAUUCUCAGCGAGCCCUUCCUUUCCCUCUGUAGUGGUUGGUGUGGCAUUUAUAAUAUAACUCCUUUAUGUACACUGUAAACCAUUCCUUCUCAGGGCAGAUGGAAGUAUGAAAUCUAUCUAUUUCAGUCUAUAAAAUUAUAUUUAGAGCGUUAGGUAAUGAAUGUCCUAGUAAAGUCGGCAGAGGACAGGUAGGUUAAAUGACAAGUAAGGAAUGACAGGCAGGUAGUAGAUGAUAAGAGUUGCAGAACAGUUUGGGGAGAAGGACUUUAUUUUUAAAUGCCUUUAGUAACACUACUACUACUAAUAUAGCAGUAAAGUACUUUUUACCCAUUAAUAAAUGGGUAAAAGUAAUUUCAAGUUAGCAAAUUUCUCAUUUAUAUGCAGUGUUUCAUAUAACAAUGGCUCAAUCCUGAUCCUUGUAGGAAACUACCUUAACCAUUGUGUAUUUUUUCAGCUUUUAAUG
ensembl:lncRNA GNAO1-DT GNAO1 divergent transcript